GACGGAGGGUGCUAGCGUUGUUCGGAAUUACUGGGCGUAAAGGGCGCGUAGGCGGCCCUGUCAGUCGGGUGUGAAAGCCCGGGGCUCAACCCCGGAAUGGCACCCGAGACGGCGGGGCUGGAGACCGGGAGAGGAGGGUGGAAUAGCCAGUGUAGAGGUGAAAUUCGUAGAUAUUGGCUGGAACACCGGUGGCGAAAGCGGCUCUCUGGCCCGGUUCUGACGCUGAGGCACGAAAGCGUGGGGAGCGAACAGG
rnacentral:rRNA from 1 species